rnacentral:lncRNA from 1 species
AGUUGAACUUUGGGGAUAGGCACGAGAUGUGCCCUCCAAAUAUAGAAGUGCAGAGGGUUGUGAUGGUGUAGGGGCCUCAAGGAGCAACAGAAUCAGAGGGAGCAUUAUACUAAUGGCCCCCUUGUGGUGACUGGUGAGUAGGACAAAAUGCCUAGUGCUAGUGCCUGCCUGUGAGGCACCAGAGUGAGCUCCUGCUUCCUACCAGCCAUCCCUUCCCUGCCAUCAAGGGUUAGUUUGCACUGCAUCUGAAAGCACCACCCUAGCUAUCUCCUAUGUGAACUGCGAACAAUAAUGCAUUCCAGAGAUGCUUUCUUUGAUUUGUCCUCCUCACCACCUCAUUACCUUUUUUUUUCACUACAAGAUCAUGCUUUUUUUUUUCCCAUUAGGACUAGGAGGGCUGUUCCCUAAAGCAAGGGAACAGGCAAAUGCAUAAUAGAGUACAAACUGUACCCUUUCAGAUUGUUGUCCUGAACAAAAGUUGAUGCGCCUACAAUCUACAUAAGCUUAAUCUGUUGUUUCCCCCACCACAUCUUUCCAGACUACCGUUGCCAACAAUAUAUAUAUAUAUAUAGGCGUGCUUCUGUUCUUGUUUUCGAGCCUUACUAGGGAUGUCGACGUCGGCGGAGGACAGAGCCACCAUGAACAAGACAAAGGCAUUGCCCUCUUGAGAACCUUUUAAACAUGGAGACCUAGAGCAAG